rnacentral:rRNA from 1 species
UACGUAGGUGGCGAGCGUUAUUCGGAUUUACUGGGCGUAAAGAGUUCGUAGGGGGUUUUAUAAGUUUGAUGUGAAAUGCCGUGGCUCAACCACGGAACUGCAUUGAAAACUGUAGGACUGGAGUACUGUAGAGGUAAGUGGAAUUUGUGGUGUAGCGGUGGAAUGCGUAGAUAUCACAAGGAACAUCAAUGGCGAAGGCA